rnacentral:rRNA from 1 species
ACGGGUGNGUCAAUGCCUAGGAAUCUGCCUGUAGUGGGGGAUAACGNUGGAAACGGACGUUAAUACCGCAUACGUCCUACGGGAGAAAGCAGGGGACUUUCGGGCCUUGCGGUAUCAGAUGAGCCUAGGUCGGAUUAGNUAGUUGGUGAGGUAAUGGCUCACCAAGGCGNCGAUCCCGUAACUGGUNUGNGNNGAUNNNCAGUCACACNGGGACUGAGACACGGCCCAGACUCCUACGGGAGGCAGCAGUGGGGAAUUUUGGACAAUGGGCGCAAGCCUGAUCCAGCAAUGCCGCGUGAGUGAAGAAGGCCUUCGGGUUGUAAAGCUCUUUUGUCAGGGAAGAAACGGCUGAGGCUAAUAUCCUCGGCUAAUGACGGUACCUGAAGAAUAAGCACCGGCUAACUACGUGCCAGCAGCCGCGGUAAUACGUAGGGUGCAAGCGUUAAUCGGAAUUACUGGGCGUAAAGCGUGCGCAGGCGGUUUUGUAAGUCUGACGUGAAAGCCCCGGGCUCAACCUGGGAAUUGCGUUGGAGACUGCAAGGCUUGAAUCUGGCAGAGGGGGGUAGAAUUCCACGUGUAGCAGUGAAAUGCGUAGAGAUGUGGAGGAACACCGAUGGCGAAGGCAGCCCCCUGGGUCAAGA